UAGAGUAAGAGUACCCGCUGAACUUAAGCAUAUCACUAAGCGGAGGAAAAGAAACUAACCAGGAUUCCCUCAGUAACAGCGAGCGAACAGGGAUUAGCCCAUCCAUGAAGCGCCAGGCACGCAGCGGAUGCCUGCCUGGCGCCCUUUGGGGUUGCAGAGGUUACGAUAUCAUGAUCACUCGCGUCACGGUGAAGUUACCAUGAACGGUACGUCAGAGAGGGUGAUAGCCCCGUAACCGUGCCGCGAUGCCGUGACUCCUCGUCGAACCAGCGAUGCGGGGGUUGGGUCAUCUCGGUAACCUCGAGAGAGUCGAGCUGCUUGAGAGUGCAGUUCAAAGAAGGUGGUAGCUCCCAUCUAAGGCUAAAUACCCGCAAGAGACCGAUAGCGAACAAGUACCGCGAGGGAAAGAUGAAAAAGCACCCCGGGAAGGGGGGUGAAAAGAUCCUGAAAUCAGCAAGGUGGAAGCAUUCGUGGAUACCAUUUACUGUGUCUCGAUGAUCUAUCGGAUAGCACGGAUCCAGUACCGAUCAUGAAGGCCGGGAGAUACCCAUCAUAGCAUGAUGCGUCGCACACUCCCCCGCCUAACCGAUCGCGGCAACGCAGUGGCUGCCGGUGCUCCUACGGCCCCGGUGGUACACGUACUGGGGAAAUAUCCAUGAAUGACCCGUCUUGUAACACGGACCAAGGAGUCUACCGCGCAUGCGAGUCACUGCGCCGCAAGACGCACGGGCGAAAGAAACCUGAAGACACGGCAUCCACGCCUGCACCGGUCGCAACGGUACCGCCUCCGGUAUGCACGGGGGCGGUGGUAGCGGGUCCGGUGGUAGCAUGCGCGUUAGGACCCGAAAGGUGGUGAUCUAUGCCUGGGCAGGGUGAAGCCUAGAGAAAUCUAGGUGGAGGCCCGAAGGAAUGCUGACGUGCAAAUCGCUUCUCUGACCUGGGUAUAGUGGCGAAAGACCAAUCGAACCACCUAGUAGCUGGUUCCCCCCGAAGUUUCUCACAGGAUAGCUGGGACUCAUGCAGUUGCACCGAGUAAAGAUACUGGUUGUGUAUCCGGGGAUGCGUAUAUCCUCGGACCAUUGUCAAACUCUGAAUCGGUGUUCGCGGCUCUUGCUUAGGUGAAGCGUUCGCGGUGAUGCGAGUCUCAAGUGGGCUAGUUUUGGUAAGCAGAAUUGGCGAUGCGGGAUGAACCGGGUGUUGCGUUAAAGUGUCUAACUGCAUGCUAACCUAGAUCCCAGAAAGGGUGUCAACCAGUAUGGACAGCAGGACGGUGGUCAUAGAAGUCGAAACCCGCUAAGGAGUGUGUUAUAACUCACCUGUCGAACCGGUAGGCCCCGAUAAUGGAUGACGCUGAAGCACGCGACUUAGACGCAACCGUCGGAGCGAUCGGGCUCCGAUCGGGUAGGGGGGCGUGGAUGUGGCACCGAAGCACGAGGCGUGAGCCUGUGUGGAGCAGCAUCUAGUGCAGAUCUUGGUGGUAGUA
rnacentral:rRNA from 12 species